rnacentral:rRNA from 1 species
UGGGGAAUAUUGCACAAUGGGCGCAAGCCUGAUGCAGCCAUGCCGCGUGUAUGAAGAAGGCCUUCGGGUUGUAAAGUACUUUCAGCGGGGAGGAAGGGAGUAAAGUUAAUACCUUUGCUCAUUGACGUUACCCGCAGAAGAAGCACCGGCUAACUCCGUGCCAGCAGCCGCGGUAAUACGGAGGGUGCAAGCGUUAAUCGGAAUUACUGGGCGUAAAGCCCACGCAGGCGGUUUGUUAAGUGAGAUGUGAAAUCCCCGGGCUCAACCUGGGAUCUGAAUCUGAUACUGGAAAGCUUGAGUCUCGUAGCGGGGGGUAAAAUUCCAGGUGUAGCGGUGAAAUGCGUAGAGAUCUGGAGGAAUACCGGUGGCGAAGGCGGCCCCCUGGACGAAGACUGACGCUCAGGUGCGAAAGCGUGGGGAGCAAACAGG